rnacentral:rRNA from 1 species
GACGAACGCUGGCGGCGUGCUUAACACAUGCAAGUCGAACGGAAAGGCCCUGCUUUUGUGGGGUGCUCGAGUGGCGAACGGGUGAGUAACACGUGAGUAACCUGCCCUUGACUUUGGGAUAACUUCAGGAAACUGGGGCUAAUACCGGAUAGGAGCUCCUGCUGCAUGGUGGGGGUUGGAAAGUUUCGGCGGUCGGGGAUGGACUCGCGGCUUAUCAGCUUGUUGGUGGGGUAGUGGCUUACCAAGGCUUUGACGGGUAGCCGGCCUGUGAGGGUGACCGGCCACAUUGGGACUGAGAUACGGCCCAGACUCCUACGGGAGGCAGCAGUGGGGAAUAUUGCACAAUGGGCGGAAGCCUGAUGCAGCAACGCCGCGUGCGGGAUGACGGCCUUCGGGUUGUAAACCGCUUUCGCCUGUGACGAAGCGUGAGUGACGGUAAUGGGUAAAGAAGCACCGGCUAACUACGUG